AGUAGUUGUAGAGUCAUGUGUAUCCAACAUUUUUCAAUUAUUUCUAUCUUUCUUGGUGCAAAUUUUAGUCCUAUAGACAAGAACUUGUGUUGUGUCCAUUCGCUCUUUCUUUCUUUUAAAUAUGUAAGUAAAUUUUUACAAGUAGACCAUUAAAAUGGAAAGUAGGGUAGAUCUAGAAUUCUCAUAUAUUCCACUAUUAGAAUUUGCAUUGUGAUAAUAUUUGGGCUAAUGGUUUAUCAUGUUUCAUGAUUUUCUACAGGGAAAAGUAAGUUGCCGGCAGCGCUUUAUUGUAUAGGGCUUGGGGCAGAGUAGGUACCCUCCUGAUGGUGGCUAUUGUUCUCAUCAUCUAUUGUCGCAGGAACAAAAAAUACAAUGCGACGUGGUCUUGGAUAUCUCGAUACACUUCUCAUACAUCUUCAAUGAAUGAUAUUGAAAAGGAAGCAAGCUGCUAUGGAGUCCAAACUUUCUGCUAUAACGAACUCCAAAAAGCCACCAACAAUUUUGAUUCCAAGAAAGAAAUUGGAGAUGGAGGAUUUGGCACUGUAUACCUAGGAAAACUUCGAGAUGGGAGUGUAGUUGCAAUGAAACGAUUAUACGAUCACAAUUUCAAAACAGUGGAACAAUUCAUGAAUGAAAUAGAGAUCCUCACCCGCCUUCGCCACCUAAACCUCGUCUCCCUCUACGGAUGCACCUCCCGACACUGCCAUGAGCUCCUCCUCGUUUAUAAAUACAUCCCCAACGGUACUGUAGCCAAUCACCUCCAUAGCGACCGUACAAAAUCCGGUUCCCUCUAGGAAUGGCAAUUUGAACCCGGCCCGACGGGGACCCGACCCCCU